rnacentral:rRNA from 1 species
UGAUCAUGGCUCAGGACUAACGCUGGCGGCGUGCCUAACACAUGCAAGUCGAACGUGCUUUUACGCGGUAGCAAUAUAGUGUAACGGCAAGUGGCGAACGGGUGAGUAACACGUAGGUGAUCUACCUUUGAGACGGGAACAACCCAGGGAAACUUGGGCUAAUGCCUGAUAAGACCACGCGCAGGGAUGUGCGGGGCCAAAGGGGGGGCGAAAGUCUCUCGCUUGAAGAUGAGCCUGCGGCCUAUCAGCUAGUUGGUAAGGUAAAAGCUUACCAAGGCGAAGACGGGUAGCCGACCUGAGAGGGUGACCGGCCACACUGGGACUGAGACACGGCCCAGACUCCUACGGGAGGCAGCAGUGAGGAAUUUUCCGCAAUGGGCGCAAGCCUGACGGAGCGACGCCGCGUGAGGGAUGAAGGCUUUCGGGUUGUAAACCUCUUUUAAGUGAGAAAAAGGUUUGCAUGAUAAUACCAUGCAGACUUGAUGGUAUCACUGGAAUAAGCCCCGGCUAACUACGUGCCAGCAGCCGCGGUAAUACGUAGGGGGGCGAGCAUUGUCCGGAAUUACUGGGCGUAAAGGGCGUGUAGGCGGUUGGAAAAGUCUGGUGUGAAAUGCUUCAGCUUAACUGGAGCGCUGCGCCGGAAACUU